GAUGAACGCUAGCGGCAGGCUUAAUACAUGCAAGUCGAACGAGAUUUCCCAGCUUGCUUCAGAUGACGACCGGCGAACGGGUGAGUAACGCGUAUGCAACCUACCUCAAACAGGGGGAUAGCGCAGGGAAACCUGGAUUAAUACCCCAUAAUAUUUAGAUUUGGCAUCAGAUUUAAAUUAAGACUCCGGUGGUUUGAGAUGGGCAUGCGUGACAUUAGCUAGUUGGUAAGGUAAUGGCUUACCAAGGCUACGAUGUCUAGGGGUUCUGAGAGGAUGAUCCCCCACACUGGUACUGAGACACGGACCAGACUCCUACGGGAGGCAGCAGGUAGGAAUAUUGGUCAAUGGGCGCAAGCCUGAAACAGCCAUCCCGCGUGUAGGAAGACUGCCCUAUGGGUUGUAAACUACUUUUAUAAAGGAAGAAACCCAUCUACGUGUAGAAGGCUGACUGUACUUUACGAAUAAGCACCGGAUAACUCCGUGCCAGCAGCCGCGGUAAUACGGAGGGUGCAAGCGUUAUCCGGAUUUAUUGGGUUUAAAGGGUGCGUAGGCGGGCCUUUAAGUCAGUGGUGAAAUCCUGCAGCUUAACUGUAGAACUGCCAUUGAUACUGAAGGCCUUGAGUAUAGUUAAGGUAGGCGGAAUGUGUAAUGUAGCGGUGAAAUGCUUAGAUAUUACACAGAACACCGAUUGCGUAGGCAGCUUACUAAGCUAUAACUGACGCUGAUGCACGAAAGCGUGGGGAGCGAACAGGAUUAGAUACCCUGGUAGUCCACGCCGUAAACGAUGAUCACUCGUUGUUGGCGAUACACAGUCAGCGACUGAGCGAAAGCAUUAAGUGAUCCACCUGGGGAGUACGAUCGCAAGAUUGAAACUCAAAGGAAUUGACGGGGGCCCGCACAAGCGGAGGAGCAUGUGGUUUAAUUCGAUGAUACGCGAGGAACCUUACCUGGGCUUAAAUGUAGAGUGCAUAAGUGGGAAACUACUUUUUUCUUCGGAACGUCCUACAAGGUGCUGCAUGGUUGUCGUCAGCUCGUGCCGUGAGGUGUCGGGUUAAGUCCCAUAACGAGCGCAACCCCUAUCCUUAGUUGCCAUCAGAUAAUGCUGGGGACUCUAAGGAAACUGCCUACGCAAGUAGUGAGGAAGGUGGGGAUGACGUCAAAUCAGCACGGCCCUUAUGUCCAGGGCUACACACGUGCUACAAUGGUCGGUACAAAGGGCAGCUACCUGGUGACAGGAUGCUAAUCUCAAAAGCCGAUCUCAGUUCGGAUCGAAGUCUGCAACUCGACUUCGUGAAGUUGGAUUCGCUAGUAAUCGCGUAUCAGCCAUGACGCGGUGAAUACGUUCCCGGGCCUUGUACACACCGCCCGUCAAGCCAUGGAAGCUGGGAGUACCUGAAGUCCGUGCCCGCAAGGAGCGGCCUAGGGUGAUACUAGUGACUGGGGCUAAGUCGAAACAAGGUAGC
rnacentral:rRNA from 1 species